CGGGGGAACCCGGGGCUAAGCCAUCCCCGCGCCCCGGCCGAAACCGAGACGCCAAGGAUGACCGCGCAACCGAUGGUGGUGUUUUGUAUUCAACGUCUCCUAAUCGCUGGUCGGCAUCGUUUAUGGUUAAGACUACGACGGUAUCUGAUCGUCUUCGAUCCCCUAACUUUCGUUCUUGAUUAAUGAAAACAUCCUUGGCAGAUGCUUUCGCAGAAGUUAAUCUUUCAUAAAUCCAAGAAUUUCACCUCUGACAAUUAAAUAUUAAUGCCCCCAACUAUCCCUAUUAAUCAUUACCCUAGUCCUCGCGCUGCCAAAACCAACUGAAAAUAGGAGGACAGGGUCCUAUUCCAUUAUCCCAUGCUAAUGUAUUCGGUGGCAGAAAAUUGGAUCUGCCUGCUUUGAACACUCUAAUUUUUUCACGGUAAACGAUCUGGGCCAAA
rnacentral:rRNA from 1 species